CCUCGCUCAGGGCCGCGGAGCCGGGGCUGGACUUCCCGGGUCACACGCCACCGCCGCCGCCACUGGGAGCCGAGCCCCGGCCGAGCCUGCAGAAGUUCCAAUUUCCAGACCUGAUGUGAUCUCUUGGCUGGAGUGAAGGGAGGAGCUGUGGGGCCCCAGACUCCAGGGAGAGGAGGAAAGAGAGAUACUGAGAGAUGCCCACAGAGCAGGCGAUGGGACGGUGAGUGAGACCGAGGAGGAGAACCCUCAGCGGGAGUCCUGAGCAGGUGGAACCACAUAGGACAGUUUGGGAAGAUCCAAGGAGGAGCAAUAACAUGGGUCUGAGUUUCUCAGAUUCAAUCAUCAGCGGAGGAGACAGAUGUGAAAACGGGCCUUCAUGGGGUGAGAUGGGACCUUCAGGAAAGUCUCUUGAACAAGCAGAACUAACCUUGUCAGAAAGAAGAAUGAAGUAAUAGAAGACUAAAGCCCGCUCUACAAAAGAGAAACAAAAACAAAACUUAUUAACAUAUCAUUACCAUUUGUAGCAUAUAGCAUAGUGUUAACAUACAUAUGCUACCCCUGAGGGAAUUCUGGGCCAAACAAAAUAAACAUUCAGUGCACAAUAUUGUAAAAUUCUGCAUAUUUCAUUUGUCAAAGCAACACAAUAGAAUCACACCAUUUUCAGUUAUUUUGGUAAUUUAUUUCAAAAUAGCUGUCAACAAUACAGGAUGUGAUGAACUGGGGUUUUAUUCACCUUGUUAUGUUGCAUGUGAGUCUUACUGUCCUAUACUAACACUGGGUGUUCCUCAGUUUCCCUGCAUCAAUGCCUAGAUGGUGAUGGGAAUUGGGCGUGUGACUUUUACUGAGGCUCUGGGACAGGUCAGGCUGCCCAGCUGCCUACCCAUAAACAGUGUACGAUACCCUUCGUAACCUGAACCUGAGCCCAGGAGAGGGGUCCAACCAGGUGACUCCUUGCCCGGGAAGCAGACAAAGAGUGGGGAGGAGCAAUGGGCAGGUCAGAGGCCCAGUAGCUGGAGGCUGGUGAGUCUGCAUUGAGGACUGGAAGGGGGGGUGGGAUCCAGGACAUCUGGCCUGGGAUUUCUCUAAGAUGCAUUAGGCUAAAGCAGGGGUCGGCAACCUUUCAGAAGUGGUGUGCCGAGUCUUCACUGAUACACUCUAAUUUAAGGUUUCGCGUGCCAGUAAUACAUUUUAACGUUUUUAGAAGGUCUCUCUAUAAGUCUAUAUAUUAUAUACCCAAACUACUGUUAUAUGUAAAGUAAACAAGG